UUUGGAUUGAAGGGAGCUCUUC
rnacentral:siRNA from 1 species